rnacentral:rRNA from 1 species
GACGAACGCUGGCGGCGUGCCUAAUACAUGCAAGUCGAGCGCAGGAAGCUGACGGAACUCUUCGGAGGGAAGGCAGUGGAAUGAGCGGCGGACGGGUGAGUAACACGUAAGGAACCUGCCUCAAGGAUUGGGAUAACUCCGAGAAAUCGGAGCUAAUACCGGAUAGUUCAACGGACCGCAUGGUCCGCUGAUGAAAGGCGCUCCGGCGUCACCUUGAGAUGGCCUUGCGGUGCAUUAGCUAGUUGGUGGGGUAACGGCCCACCAAGGCGACGAUGCAUAGCCGACCUGGGAGGGUGAUCGGCCACACUGGGACUGAGACACGGCCCAGACUCCUACGGGAGGCAGCAGUAGGGAAUCUUCCACAAUGGACGAAAGUCUGAUGGAGCAACGCCGCGGGAGUGAUGAAGGUUUUCGGAUCGUAAAACUCUGUUGUAAGGGAAGAACACGUACGAGAGGAAAUGCUCGUACCUUGACGGUACCUUACGAGAAAGCCACGGCUAACUACGUGCCAGCCGCCGCCGUAA